UUUUGCUGUACCAAAGUUAGCGUAAGGAUCCGACCACAAAUGUACCAAAUCUUGUCUUGCAAAUGAAAUUCGACAUAAACCCAAAACCCAAUCCAUUUCAAACAAGCUUUUAAGGUAAUUUAUUUUUUUACGUCAUAUUUUCUAAUACCCAAUAAAUUCCCCAAUUGUUCUAUUUCACCUCCGGCGGAUCUCUAACUAGACGCUACCACUUCUCGGUGUCUCCGUAUCGCCGAAUUUCUCCUGACUACUGCUGGUUUGAAUUAAUUGCAUAGUUCAAAGUCCAGGUUAGAAAAUGGAUAUUGAAGUUGAUCAUUAUGCUGUUUUGGAUUUACCCUCUGGUGAGGAAGGGGCCAAACUUUCUGAGAAAGACAUAUCUAAAGCCUAUAAGAAGAAAGCAUUAGAGUUGCAUCCAGACAAGAGGCGCGACGACCCAAAUGCUCACUUGAACUUUCAAAAUCUGAAGACUUCAUACGAGAUUCUCAAGGAUGAGAAAGCGAGGAAGCUAUUUGAUGAUCUACUUCGUGUGAAACGUGAGAAGAUCCGGCGGCAAUCUCAGCAAGAUUUAAAACGUAGAAAGAUGAUGUCAGAUCUUGAUGCAAGAGAGCGUGCUGCUUUUUCACCUGAUGCCAGCGUUCUAGAUCGAGAAGAGGAGGAACUGAUUGCUAGGAAACUUAAGGAAGAAAUUGCUAGAAUUCGUGCAAGGCAUUCAAAGAAAGUGUCUACUCCUAUAGAUCCUUCACAGAAAGAGGCACAUGCAAGGGCUAAUGAGAGUGCAGAAGGCAAGGGGAGUAGUGUAGACAGGGAAAAGAUGCUUAAGGUAUCUUGGGAGAAGAUUGGUGAAGAUUAUACUGCCCAAAGACUGAGAGAUUUGUUUAGUGAGUUUGGUGAGGUUGAAGAUGUAGUAAUCAAGAGUUCUAAGAAGAAAGGCUCCGCUCUUGUUGUCAUGUCAUCUAAGGAUGCAGCUAAAGCUUCUUGUGGAAAGAUCUUGGGGGAUCUAUCAAAUCCUCUCUUAGUUGUGCCCCUCCAACCUCUAACUCCAUCUCCAUUUUCUAGCGCUGAGAAAAAUGGAGAAUCUGAGGACCCAAUUUUGAGUAAUCUUGUAGGUGCUGGAUACCAGAAAUUUGAAGACUCAGUAUUAGAAAAAAUGAGAAAGUACCACUGGAUAUUGUUAUCGGAGAGAUGAAUUGAUUUCUUUCGGAAAAAAGAAUGUGCGUUGCUAGUAUGUUUGGGAGGGUCUAGAAGUGCGUGAAUGGAGUGAAACACAAUCAAAUCAGCGAGAUGCCUCAAUUGGGUUUCAGUUUCACAUGUAUACCUAAUUUUGAUAUCAGGCAGCUCAAAGGAAGAAAUAGCAUGCAGAAGCUUCAUCAAGUUCAAGUGUUUAGAUGAUGAGAUCUCUAGUUUACCACGGAUAAAAAAGUAAGAAUGUAAUAGUAAUUUUCUCUUCUUCUUCAUAUAUUCCUUGUAUAUUUUACGCAGAAUGGGGGUGUCAUUCUAGUUCCGACGGAUAGUUAUUGUAAUCAUUUAAGGCUGAUUUCCAGCAAGAUAAAUUUCCUUUUUACCGGUUUCUCUGAAACAGGUUUGUUUUUUGACAUGUACUCCAUCGAGAAUGUAUAAUGAGAAUCCCAUUCUUCUGUCACAAGAUUGGGAAGAGGAGAGAUUUAUCUUCAUUGUGCUAUGCCUGGUAUUCUGGACAUGGUAUUUGCAGUAGGAAUCACAAAAAUGUAUUGUAUAUUAAUGUCACUUGAGAUUUUUUUAAUGUGUUUUGCAGUGUUCUGUAUUUGGAUCA